rnacentral:lncRNA from 1 species
UACAAGCUUAGCCUAUGAGAUUUUAUAGAUCAAUCUCAAGGCCACACGUUUCAGAUCUCAUUCCAACUAAUUAGCCAUGUGCUAAAUGUGUGUGGCUUCUAGAAAGCUUUAUUAAACACAUGUAAAAUAUGUUAGGUGCCUAUGGAAAAGUAAACACUAAUGCCACCCCCUUUUAUGAUAGGCACACCCCUCUUUAUGUAGAAUUGUCCAUUUUACCCUUCACCAUGCUCUUGGGUUGUUCUUUAUUUGGUGGGCUUGGGCCCCGCGUAUCACAAGAGCUUAAAUUUCACAAUGUUGUUAAAGUGCCAGGAGGCUGAGAGAGGGACUGAGUGCCACCAGGAUAGCUUUGGGCGAUGUAAUUCCAAAGAUUUGGGCGCCUAGUGCCACAUUCUGUCACUAACUGGUGGUGUCACUGAUAGGUCAAAAUGGGUUAUUUAGAUAUGUUUCUUGCAAGGUUUUGGGCAUUCCUCUACUCUUACACUUCAUUCUUCAUCGAAAGCGACUUGAAGAAGCCCUUGGAGGUUGUGUGAAGUGCUUGAAAGCUCUUUCAUUCCUCCUUGGGUCUUUAAGUUUUAUCAAGAUGGGUCAUGAAUUGGAGAUGGAAAUGCGAAGGGGAAGCACAUUUGGAGCAUAGAGCAACUGCAAAGAACCUUGGGAAAGGCUAUGCAUCUCUCUAUGGUUUCAAUUUCUCCCUUAUCUCUCUAAUUUUGUAGAACCCUAAGUUCUCCAUCAUGGAAGGCUUUUCCUAUUUGUUGAGAUUAAUUGUAAAACAUGAAAUUCUUAUGUAUUUUGUGAUAUUAAUAAUAUAUGUUUUUCCAAUUCAUGUUAGUAUUUAAUUUCUAUGCUUAAUGUUUGUGUUGGUUUGGCCACCAAUGCAUGAUUUGUGGUUCUUGAUGUAUUAAGAAACAUGAUUUGAACCUAUAACUGAAAUUGAACACCUAAUGGAUGAAAUUGAGAUGUUUGUAAAUGCAUGAGAAUGAAGUGGAUGAAUUCUAAUCUUGACAAUUGUAAAUACUCUAUGUUAAAUUUCUUUGCACACCAAUUGUUUGAUAAAAAUACCAAAAAGAGUUUGUUGUGUUUUUGUGCACUUUGAUGUUAUAUUGAGUUAUGAAAGGAAAAGUUGUCAUGUGUUGCACAAGUCUCUCAAGGGAGAAUGAUAUUUAUCACUUGCUACGCUACAACCAGUACACUCGUCAUUGGUUUUGCAACCAACAAGUUUUGACACCGUUGUCAGGCACUUGUGUUCUAACACAAGGCAAUUUGGCCAUUUAUGACUCUUUUAUACUUUGUCAUGUAUCUUUUUAGUGUUGUUUUGUAUGCAUUUGGCUUUAGUUUUUAACUUUUUCCAUGAUUUAGUUUGAACUUAAUGUCUGUCUCGGGGUACACCUUAGAGUUUGAUACAAUUAUUGAAAGUUCUUAGGGAUGAGAUUUCAGUAGCAGAACUAACUAAAUCAAACUAGAUAUGCAAAUCACUAGGGAUGGGAUUGUGUGUUUGGAUUCACUGCUUUUGAACUUAAGGCAAGUUUGAUGCACUUCUUACAACAAGGGAUUGGGUAAGUGUUCAUCAUACUUAGACAGACACAACAAGAGGGAUCUGAGUGUUCUAACUUAAGAAAACAGGGAAAGUAGAAUUCUUUGUCAAUUGUGUGUUUGUUUUGUUUGUGUUUCUUUUAUGCAGCUUGGCUACAUAUGUUUAUAUUUCUCACUGGUUUGGUUUAUGCUUAAUGCUUGUUUCGGCGAACGCCUUAGAGCAUGAUCUAGUUGUUGGAAUGUCCUAGGGAUGGGAUUUUAGCAGCCGAGCUAGCUAAAUGAACCCAGAUAUUACAAGUCACCAAGGAUGAGAUUGUGUGUUUGGACCCCACUGUUCCGAUUCUUAAUGCAAGUUUUGAUACAUUCUUAGGCCAAGGGAUUGGGUGACGUGUGUCCGGCUUAGAUAGGCGCAACAAGAGGGAUUUAAGUAUUUUACCUUAGAGAACAUGGAAAUUAGUAUUCAUCACCUUAUGAGAGUACUAGGUGAUCUUGCAAUAAGAGGGAUCCGAAUGAGGUUAUUUGGGAAAUAUGUUCUAAUCAUUCUGCAUAUUGGAAUUGUUGUUUGGUUGGUGUGCUCACAUUUUGCAUUUUUUUUUUCUUCCUUUCCUUUUCUUUGUUUGUAUUUUUCAUUUUUCUAUUUACUUUUCUAUAUGUUAUUUUUAUUUUUAUCUUUUUGUUUUUUAAUCUUAAUUUUAACAUCUUUGUUCCUAUAAUAAAAUGGGCUAAAGAGUUUGUUUGAAUUUUUUGGUGUUCUUGUGAGUGAUAGGCAUGAGUGCUGAUGAAAAAGAAUACACAAGGAGUUGAGGAAUUUGAGUAGCAAGUUGGUUCGCCCAAAAAGAGUGUGCUUUUUCUUUUCCUUUCUAUUUUUUUUCUUAUUUUGUUGAUAAUAAGUGUGAUUUGGCUGAUUUGACAAAUAUAAUGCAUUUGGUUAUGUGACUUUGAGUGAGUUCUGCAUGACUUUGAGGAGAAUCAUUUGUGUUUGAUCAUAAAUUGAUUUUGGAAUACAUUAAGAAUAUGUUGUGGUUUAGUGAAAACUUAUACUUGUGGUUGUUCUCAUGUGGGUAUAUCGAGAAUGUUAUUAUUGUUUUUACUAUGGUUAAUGAUUAUGGCAUGAUGUAUGACAACCUUAGGAAACCAAAGAAAUUAAAUGGGUGAAAAUUUGUGCCUCAUAGUUUUUAUCUAUUGACUGCUAGCACUUUUGGUUUACAAUUAACUUUGCUUGAGUUUCAUGGCUAUUUGUUAUUUAUUUGCAUGCUUACAUUGAAACAAGGUCGUUUUUCUUUCCGUGUUUGUAUCAUAUACCCAAAAUAACCAGUUGUGUUUUCAAAGAUUAGAACCUUUGUGCAAUCCUUUGAGAAUUUAAAGAAACUUACCUUCACUCUUGAAACCUUAAGCCUUGUUGAAUAUGAUUGACUAUCUCACCUUGAUGGGAGAGUAAAGUUUUCAUGGUCAGUAGUGUAAUUCAAGUGUGGGGGAAAUUAUUAUUAGAAGCGGAGCAUGGGUAACAAUUGUGAAAUGGUGUUGGUUGAUGUGAUUUAUUCUUAUAUAUAUUGUCAUUUAUAAAAGAAAAAGAAAAGUAGAAAAAAAAAGAAAAAAAAUAUAUAUGAACAAGGUGACUGCAAGUUGGUGUUUGGUGGUUGUUGAGAUUGUUGAUAGGGUGAGCACAGGUUUAGCUGAACCCACAAUCUCAGUGAUAAUUAUGUUUUUUUAUGAUGACAACACAUAAUUAAUAACACAAGUGUAUUAUGUGUUUACAUGUUAUAUGCUUUUGCUUAUUGUGUUAUAUCUGUAUAAGCAUAUCUGGGAACAUGAUUGUGUUGUUCAUUGCAUACAGUGUUUAAUAUGUGAUUUUAUCUGUGGAUGCAUAACAUAAGUUUUCGGAAUUGAAAAACCACAAGCACUUUGGUUGAACUUAAAAGUGUGGCAAAACAAUAGUUUCAAGUCAAUUACAUCAUGGGAUGAAUCGAUUAAAACUCGUGGGUUUGCACAAAUUCUUUUCAAGUAUGCAUUGAGAUAUUUUGAAGAGAAAAGUUUUCAAAAAUGUUCUAAGUGUUUUUACUUAAUCGACUGUAUGCUUCUUGUAUUCGAUUAAGUUUGUUAAGACUUUGAAAACUGUUAAAUGUUUGUCACAACUAACAUAAUGAUCAUUCUUUUAAAUAUGUUGACCAAGCAUUUAUUGUAAGUUGAUUGUAUUAAAUGUGCAUUUAAUUAAUUGUUGUGAUUGUUGUUAGAUUGUUAUAACUGCAAGAUGUAUUAGACUUGAUUAUUAGCUAAAUCGACUAAAAUGCGUCUGAUGUGUGUAAUAUUAUAAAUUGUCGCUGAUUUGAAUUGUGUAAGAACUUUUGUGAAUUAACACUUUCAUAUCUUUCAAAAAACGUUGUGUGAUAUUACAGAGGAAAGAAAAGCUCCAAGAACCAAAGAUUGACCGUGGUGAUCAAAGACUUGAAGGUUUCUUGCGAAGCAAGGUUUACUGGGUUUGAGCGUCUGAUCUAUCUGCACAGAAAGGUGUAAAUUGCGUGAUCAAGAUUUGUCGCAAUCUCUAAAAAUUGGCUUGGAUUCCCCGCGGUGUUUGUAGGAAGAAGAAUUGUGUUCUUGACUUUGAGGGUGCCUCAAAGGGUGUGACAGUAGAAGAGGGUGUUCUUGUUGCAUGACAUUAUUGUUUACUACCUAUAUUAGAUUAAAGGAUUAAAGAGGUGUUUUACAUUUUGACGUGAGGUCACUGUAAAAACUUGGUGUAAAAACCUUGAUCUUUAUAGUGCAUUUGCUUCCCGUGGUUGGAAGGACAUUGGAUGUAGGCAGGUUGGCUGAACCAGUAUAAAAAUCAGCGUUUGAUUUCUCUGAUCCCUACACUUUUCAAUUCAUUCGAUUAACCUAUUUGUGUAUUUGAUUAAGCGCACUGCUGCAUUACAUAUUAUUUUACUUACGAUUCAAGAAAAACAUAAAGACAUCCUAUUUUGCGAAAAAGAUUUUGAAAGCUCUUGUUUUUACACAUCACCAAUUCACCCCCUCCCUCUUAGUGUGAGAAACUAAGUCGUUCUUUUGUAACAGUGGUUCUAGUUUUCAAAUAAAAGAGAGUAGAAUGAUAAGACUAUGAAAUUGAUGUGAUUGCUUUCUUUACUCGUUCAUACUACCUAGAUACAUCAAUUUCCUUCCUUGCCUUGUCCUAACAUCAAAUAAAGUCUUUGUUGUGUUUGCAUGCUUUGAUAAUUCUUGGUUCUUGAAAUGAAAAUCAAAGUCAAAUUGUGUUAUAUUAAAGGUAGAUGAGAGAAUGACACAUCCUUAUAUAAUAAUGUGCUUGAGUGAAACACAUUUUCUAGUGAGGAUUGGUUCCUUUGGUUAAUCAAUGAAAAUAUCUUUGCCAUGACUAUUAAUCUCUCAUAAAGUAUGUGCAUUUAUUCUUGUAAUAUUUGCAUUGUGAGCACGAUAGCUAAGGAUUUACAAUGUUACACAUAUUCUCUUUGGAUUGGUGUUGAAAUAAGAACAUUCAUGAAUGUUACCCGAUUUGAUUGUGUGAACUUGCUUCCUUUUUAUUUGACCUUUGUUGUAUGGAUGUUUUUCUUGGCCAAGUUAUCUUUUACUUGAGGACAAGCAAGGUUUUUAGUGUGGGGGAGUGAUAACAGUUGAUUUUACAUGUUUUUGUGUGUAUAUUUUGGUGAAUAAAUAAACUUUUUCAUAGUUUUUGCCUUGUUUUAUUUCCAAGUUUAGUGUGUUUUCAUGCUUUCUUGUGUUUUGGUUAGUAUAUACUAGUUUUUACCUCUAACCUCUUUGUUUGAGUGUGUGAAAUAAAUGAAUAUAAAGCAAUUCUAGUGGAGGAAAAUAAGUAAGAACUCAAGGGAACAUGUUUUGGGACAAAAAAAGAUCAAUUUGAAGUAGAUGUUCAUGUUGCGCGCCUUUAAAUCAUAAAAGUGCUUGAAUUUUACAAUGCUUUCAAAGUGUCAAGGGGUUGAGAGGGAGCUAAGAGAGGGCCUGAGCACCACCAGGAUAGCGUUGAGCGAUGGAAACUGACAUUAAGCGAUGUAAAUCCAGAAAGUAGGGCGUUGAGUGCCACAUUCUGGCGCGGAGCAAUAACGUUGUUGACAGGUCAAAAUAGGUUAUUUAAAAAUGUUUCUCGGGAAGUUUUGGGAAUUCUUCUCCUCCUACACUUCAUUCUUUACCUAGAGCAACUUGGAGAGGCCCUUGGAGGUUGUUUUGGGUUCUGGGAAACUCUCUCACUCCUCCUUGGGUCUUCAAGCUUCAUCAAUGGUGAUUUUGCCCCUUUUGGGUUAAGGAAGAAGAUGGCUCACUGAGAUGGAAAUGCAAACGGGAAACGCAAUUGGAGCAUGGAACAACUGCAAAGAACCUUGGGAAAGGUUGUGUAUCUCUAUAUGGUUUAAAUUUCUUCCUUAUCUCUCUAAUUUUGUAGAACCCUAAGUUCUCCAUCAUGGAGGGUUUUCCCUAUUUGUUGAGAUUAAUUGUAAAACAAGGAAGUCUUAUGUAUUUUGUGAUGUUAAUGAUAUAUGUUUUUCGAAAUCAUGUUAGUAUUCAAUUUCUAUGCUUAAUGCUUACUUUGGUUUGGCCAACCAUCCAUGAUUUGUGGUUCUUAAUGUAUUGUGAAACAUGAUUGGAACCUAGAACUGUAAUUGAACACCUAAUGGAUGAAAUUGAGAUGUUUGUGAAUGCAUGAGAAUGAAGUGAAUGAGUUCUAAUCUUGACAAUUGUAAAUACUCUAUGCUAAAUUUCUUUGAACACCAAUAGUUUGAUAAAAAUACCAAAAAGAGUUUCUUGUUUUUUUUGUGCACUUUGAUGUCUAAUUGAGUAAUGAAAGGAAAAGUUGUCAUGUGUUGCACAAGUCCCUUGGGAGAGAACAAUAUUUAUCACUUGUUACACUGUGACCGAUACAUUUGUCGGUUGUUUUGCAGCCAACAGUCGCUCAACGAGAAAGACUUAAAAUGAUUUCCAACCUACAGUGGAAAGUGAUGCUUAGUGAUGCCCUACCACCACUCAGUGUUAUACCAUUUGCAAGCCGCUUAGCAGGAAAAAGUUGUGAUUAGCGGCUUGAAGCUAAAAUGCUUCUAAACUUAAAACACCAAGCCAGUACUCAAUGCUAUACCAAUCAUGCUCAGUGCCAUAUUAGAAAGUCUUCACUUCAAAUCUAUGAUUUGUGACCAAAGGGAUGUUUAGAUGAUCAAAUUGGUAUUUUUGACCUAGUGAUUGAUUCAAAAGUGGUUCUUAAUGUUUGAAUGAACACCAAUUUCAUCAAAUGGCCACUUCUUUAGUUUUCUUAAUCACCAAACUCCAGGCACACAUAACACUCAAAUCAAUCAAUCGAUACAUCAUACAAUUCAACACGAAAACAAUAGUCAAGUUCAAUAUACCAGAUUCAAUUGAAAAUCUCUAACUUACACACACUAGAGUAUCUAGUUUUACCUUAUAAAUGAUCAAUAAUUGCAAACUGACCAUAAAAUAGCUUCAAAAGCACAAAACACUUUAUUUGCUCCUACGAACCAUCAAAACAUGACUAGGGUAUGCCUUAAAACUACUGAAAUAGAGAGUCUUAUAAAAGGCAUAGAAGGCACAUGCAAUUUCAAAUAACUCACAUGCAUGGAAAAAACACAAACUGAGAAAAAGAGUAAAAGUUAACUCACUCUUUUGUUGAAACUGAUCGGUUGAAGUAGAAGACUUUGUCUUAAGGAUCACUCAAGCGGUCUCUGAUUUUCUGAUAGAUGAACAGGGAGUCAAAAAUCUUAAAAAGAGGAUAUGGAGCUCUUAGAGGCCAUGUUUUAGAGAGAAAAUAUCUUUUAAGUAAUUAAAUUCGUUAAUAGAAAAUUUGAUUUAUAUGUUUAAACUUUUAAUAUUAAAAUAAUUUAAUCUCAUUAUUUAAAACACUUUAUCACCUAUAAGAUAUAUUUUUCUAGGUUCAUACACACUUCAACAAUAUGUUAAAGUUUGAAAAAUUAUUUAAAGGAGUAAUUAAAAAAUAUUUUAAUUGAGUUUGAAAUGUGUUGAUGAGCUUUUGUUCCACCUACAAUGUUUUUAUUUUUUUGUGUUUCAUAUAUUUUAUAUUCUUUAUAGAUGUAUAUUAGAGAGAAGAAUUGAAAAACUUUAGCAAGGAUGUUCAGCUUAAGUGUGAGUGUUAGUCUGAAACACAAACUAGUCAUCAAAAUUUUGAUUAAAAAAUAUGUUAGUUUUGUUGAUCAGAAUGGGCUAUAAAUGAUAAAUGAAAGUAAAGAAUUAAAAAAACAAGAAAAUAAAUAUCAAAUUUAACAAUUGCUCAAGAGAUUUAAAAAAAUUGUAAAAAAGGAAAAUUAAAUAAAAAUUUUCUUUUGAUCAAAAUUCGUCAGAUGCAUUCUAAAAUAUGUGGGUAGUGUUUUCUUUUUCAUGGAUUUCACACAAUUAGAGAUUCAUGCGCAUUAUGCUGGUAGAAAACCAUUUUUACGAAUUUUACUUUUCAUGGGUAAUUUUCAAUGUAUAUUUUUUGUAAAAAAAAUGUCAAAACAUAUCUCAUUGGAUAAUUUUUCAAGGAUUUAUUUUGUAGAAAACGUCACAAUCUUUUUCCUAAUAAAUUCUUACACCUAUUUGCGAAAACAAAAAUUGUGGAAAACAUACAAAUUUAAAAAAAAAAAUCAAAUAACCUGUUGGCUAUGUUCAUCUAAAAGGAUAGAUUUGGAGGGGGAAGAAGUGAUUUUGAGGGGAUUCUCAUAUUAUUUUUUAAAGGAUUUGGAGGUGAAGUUUGUAAAAAUUGAUGUAAAAUGUUAUUGUGAUAGAUAGAAAAAAGUUAAUUGAAAGAGAUUAAAUAUUAUCAAAAUAUCCUAAUUAAUAAUGAAAGUUAUAUAUGAUAAUAGAUGUUAAUAUUAUAUAUAAUUAUAAAAAUUAUUAUAAUGAGAGAAAAAAUAAUUUAUUAUUACUAUUAUUAUUAUAAUUAUAACAAUCUAUAAAAACUACAUCAAAAAACUAUAACAAAAUAUGUAACGUUCCAAAAUAUAUCUACGAAACCAUAUAAUAGUAGUCAUAGAGAUAAUAAAAUAGAACAAUUACGUCCCAACUAGGUGUAGAAUGUACCAAUUCGCUGUGCGAAUCACGAGACAGAGAGCAAUCUUCUCCAAACAUUCGCACAACGCAUUUCUUCGUUGUGUGAAUGCCCUGAUAGAGGGCAUCUCGUCAGGGUGACUCGUUGUACGAAUCCAUUCACUCAACGAGUCUGCAUAAUCUGUAACACCAAAUUCUACAGAAUUAUGCAACUCCAACACCUUUUACCAAUUCUACUAUUUUCCCCAACUUCUAACACUCCUAAAUUGUGUUAUACACCUAAUUAGACUUGACUAAGUGAUUAUAAACCUUCAUAUUAUUGAUUUAAAGUGUUUAUGACCAAAAUCAUAAUUCAAAACCUCUAUAAUCACCACCUAUAGACCCAAAAUCUAAUCUACUAUUUUGAACACAUUUCUCACCAAUUUAGGAACACAAAUACGUCACAUUUGACUUACAAAGACUGCUUCCACAAACCAAUUUGACAUAUAACUUCUACUUCUCCUUUUUAUUACUUCACUUCCUCAAAAUUACUUACUACAAAGCAAAUUAUAACAAUUCAUGAUUAACCAGGCCUCAUCACAUAUUUUUCUUUUUAAACUCCUUCCUAUUAUUGAAACAAAUCCAAUCAGCAUGUAAGCAGUCCACCAACAUAUAUCAAUUCAUACAUUCACACUCGAAAUUCAUCACAUUUCGUCUCCUUUCAUCAAAUUCACAUAAUAUAAAGUAUGAUUUCAACAUAAACAGUUCAACAAUCAUUUUCUGUAAACAUUUACCAGCUAUUCAAACAACAAAUUAGAGAAAAUAAAUGAUGUAAUAGUUUUAUGAUUUCAAGAAGUAAAUAAAAAUUAAAAGUAUGAAAAUUUGAAAACUCUAUAAAUAUAAAGUCGUUAAUUAGCAGUAAGUACGAACGUUAACACAAAUAAAAAUUAAACUAAAGUCAUAGAAUGAAAUUAACUUUUAAAAUAUAAAUAAACUGCAAUUAUACUGAAAUCUUCAUUCUUGUAUUAAUUUUGUUAAUAAGUUUGGUAAUAAUUUUGGUAAAAGUCAUGAAUUAAGUGAUUUUGAAUUUUGGAAAAAUUGGUGCAACUCUUGUAUGACUUUAUCAAAUGUAGAUUGAGUGUAAUUAAUUAAAAUGGAAGUAGUUAUUAACCUAACUACUUUAAUAUUUACAAAGAAAUCAUUAUAUACUUUGCACGAUUUCACAUCCACAUAUUAAAAAUUGUCUAGUAUAAUGAAAAUUUUUUGAUAAGAAAGACAUGUGAAAUAGAGAGAAGUUGUGAAAAAGCAAUCGAAAUGCGUAAGAAAAAUCGAAAAUUUGAAAGAAAGAAAGGCAAAGGGUGGUUGAAAUGAAACAUAUCAUAUAAUACCUAGCGAGAAGCGAGGGGUACAGUGAGGAAGGAAAACAAUGAUUGCAUGUGGAUAUGACAAUGAAGGCAGUGGAAUAAGUUGGAAGGACAGAAAUGAAUGAUGAUGAAGUAGGUCCCAUAACAGAGAUAAUGUGGUAAUUAAUAUUAGAUGAUAAUAAGUUGGGAGAUGUAUUUGAAGAGAAAAUAUGAAAUGAAAGUAGAGUAGAGGGAGCGUGCAGAGGUAUAUGUCAGGCUAGUUAGGUCUUACACUGCUUCACUGACCUCUUCUCGGUGAACUCAAUUGACCACGCAGCAACCCUAACCCCACAUGCUGCACCAUCACCACCACCACCACCAUCUCCCUACUUCCUCCACCUCCACACGACCAUCAUUCCCUCAUGUCAUACUUUAUUCCUUUGCAUCAGGGAAUGUCCACACUUCCCUCUGCUUCUCAUUCUCAACUUAGUACAUAAGCAACUUUUAUAUAUAUAUAUAUAUAUAUAUAUAUAUAUAUAUAUAUAUAUAUAUAUAUAUAUUAUAUAUAUAUAUAUAUAUAUAUAUAUAUCUCAAUAUUUUUUAUAUUCAUCCAUCAAAAUAUUCAUCACUACAAAAUAUCUAUAUGUUAAAAUCAGAUUAGAUAUAAGAUCAAUUUAUAAUUUAUAAUAUAUAUAAGAUGUAAAUUUCAUUUUAUAAACUAGUUUUAAUUGAUUAAGUUAAAUUUAAGAUUUACUUUUUAACACGAUAUCAGAAUUAUAGUUGAAACCUAUCCUAAUGAAAUUUAUAUGGUUGAAUUAGUUCUAAGUGCAUUUUCUGAUACUCUACAUCUAUGUUAAUAUCACUCUUUUGAAUUUUCUUUAUAUAGACUAAAGAAUGUCGGAUCAACAAACUUGUUAAAGUUUAAUUUAUAAUUUAUUCAAAUUAUGAAGAUAAUAUUAUAUCUUAAAAACGUGCUUAUAUCUCAUAUAAAAGUUAUUCUUAACUCUUAAAAUUUAAUCGAGUUAAUUCAAUCUUUAACUCAUGCUUGGAUUAAAAAGGAUUUUAAUUUUUUUUAUAAUUUAUACGUAGAAUUUUCCUUUGAUAUAUAGCCUACUUGUACUUAGUUUAUUUAAAGACAUAUAGGUCAACUUAUAAAAGAUUUAAUAUGAAACAAUCUUUUGAGUAAUUAUAGAGUAAUGAUCGACAAGCUUUAGAAAAAAGGCUAAACCAUAGUAAAAAUAAUAAAAGCAAGCCAUGAUGAAUGAAAUAUAGGGUUUAAUUUAUAUUUUUAAAAUACAAAAAAUCUAUUUCAAGUAAACCUUUAUUCACCUUAACCUAAUUUCGACGUAUAUAAUUUAUCCUAGAUAAAUACUUUGCACUUAAUACAUUUAUGUGAAUAAGUUGAUUUACAUUAGUUUUAAAGUUGAUUGCAAAAGAGAUAUAUAUUCGAUAAGGAGGUUGAUUAUUGUGAAUUUUCCGAGUUCCAAGUCGGGCAGUGAUGAAGAAUUGAUGGUAGAAAAGAAGGAAGUGAUAAAUUUGAAAAGGUGGUGCAUAGCAUUGAGAAAACGACGAGAAUGGUGAGUUAUUUUGUUUAGAAAUGAAUAAAUGAGAGGGGGAGCAGCGUCUUGUCACAACAGCAUGUUACUGUAGGGCAUGGGUUGUCUCUGCCAAAGCCAGUUUCUUUGAAAGCAGACUAAUGUAUGUAUAGAGAGAGACAAGAUAUGGACAAGAGUUGCACACAGACACUAGAGCCAAAGGGGCGUGCUGUAAUCAUUCUCUACAGUUCAAUAUCAUUCACAUUCAAAUUCCUCUUUCUUUUAUUACUGCCAAUCUCUGCAACAUAACUAUCACUCUUUUACCACCAUUUCUAAUAUCAUUUUUAUUUACAUGUGUGUCCAUAAAAUUAUGUAUCACAUUAAUUUAUUCAUAUGUAAAUAAAAAAAUAAAAUAAUUGUAUAUUUAUUAGUUACUAAUAAUUUUAAAAAUAUUAAAAACCAGACGAUAAAAUCAAGAGAACGAAGCAGUAUGGUUCUUAUUAAAAUCCGUUACUACAUAAUGUCACAUCUGAUACUGACGAGGGCGGAGAGUAAUCAUAUGCGAGAGGUACAUAGUAUAGUUCUUGGCAAGUUUUCAGUAGAAAAAAUAUAUGGAUGAAUCAAAUAUACAUCACAAUGAAAGAAAUCUAGAAACUAUAUAAUGAGAGUAUCUAGUUGAAAAAUAAUUUAAAGAAAUUGAUUUGGUUAUUCAUAUCAACAAAAUAUAUUUAUUUUUUGGUAGUCUAAAAAUUUCAUGAUUAAAUGUGUUUAGUGUAGAAUAAUUUAGAGAUAGAUGACCUGAGUAAAAUUAAUUAUGUAUAUGCCAUGGGUUGAUAUUAAAUAUAAGAAUUAGUUGGUAGUUCGAAAAGCAUAAUGGCCACCUAUAAGCUGUGGCAUAAAGAAAUGAUGCAUGUUUGCCACUGCAUGCCCUUUCUACAACUCAUUUAGGGCUUAAACCGGAAAAGGAAAAGGCACGAUCAUUUAAAAUUCAUACAUGUGUAUUUUUUCUGUCAGCCAAAGAUAAAGAGAUAUAAUUUAAGAUUCAUACAUGUUUAAUAUAACAAUUAUAUCAUAUAUAGAACAUACAAUUAUAUUAAUCAUGUUAUUAUUACUACGUUACGUACUCCUUAUGACAUCAUGGCCACGUAACCCUCACGCUAGCAAUACCAUUUCACAUAAAAUUACCUCCUUUUGCCUCUUAUACCUCCUUCCACAAUUAUUUUAACCUUUUCUACAUCAAUUAAAAAUAUUAAAUAGAAAAAACAAACAUUUAAUAUUUUUAAGUAAUUCAAAAUUAAUAUUAUUUCAUAUAAAUUUUAUUUAUUUUAUCAUUGAUUUUCAUUUUAAAAUUGAACGUCUGUUAAAACUUUAAAACUUAUAAUUAAAAGGUAAUCCGAAAAGUCCAAUUCUCUCAGUAUUGUUUGAAAUUUGUCUUAAUUAAUUCUCUCAGUAUUGUUGUUUUCUUUUCCGGAAUUUUUUUCACUAAUUUUACUUAUUUUCAUAAAAGAACAUUAAAGGUACUUUCGAAAUAUAUAUAUAUAUAUAUAUAUAUAUAUAUAUAUAUAUAUAUAUAUAUAUAUAUAUAUAUAUAUGACUUUUACACUUUAAAGUCAUUAUCAUUCCGGAACAUAAGUCAAUGAAAAAAGUUUUUUCUACGUCUUUGAUUUACUUUUAUCAAUAUUAGAUGACUGAUAUUACGUUAUUAGUAUUUUUAUAAAAAUUAUCAAUACAAAAUUAAAGGUUUACAACAACGUACAUAUGAUAGAUAUUAUAACUACUAUGUAAUGGCAUAUAUAUUUAUUUUCUAUAAAAUUUUUAAUCGCAUAUAUACUUAUAGUUUAAUUUUGUACUAUAAAAUUACUAAUAAAAACUGUGACAUCUGGAAAAUAUAGAUAAAAACUAUACUAAGGAGUUAACAUAUAAUAAUAUGAUAGAACAGUUAUAAGAUCUACUAGUACAAAAGCGUUAUUUAACAUCACCCGUAAGACGUUGGUUAAUGGGUGGCUCGACGUAUAUUAAUGGACGAUGGUAUUACCGUAAAUAAGUUGGUAAACAAAACGUCGGUUUCUAGGGCACCCGACAUCUAUAAUAUAGUAGACGUCUGUUCUACCUUAACCAGAGGUCCAAGGGCCUGAGGUAGGUGAGAAGACAGUCUUUUCGACCCCAUUGACGUCGAUUGUGAGGGGGGGUAGACGUCUAUCUGGAUACAAUUAAUGCUCUUCAUCUGAUUCCCAAGCGCUUAGAUGUCAAGUAAUAAAUAACCGACGUCUAUAAUGUAAUAGGCGUCUCUGCUCCUUUAACUUGACGUCAAUGGGCCUGUCAGGAAGGCGGGAAGACAGUCAAUUUCUGCCAUAUAAACAUCUGGUUUCUGGGGCAACGACGUCUAUGUGGCUGUAAUUAAUGCUUCUCACCAAACUCGCAGGCACUUCGACAUCCAGUAGUAGGGGGUCGACGUCUAAAAUGUUAUAGACAUCGGCGCCCCAGGACAAUCGUCGUCUGCUUCCCCGAUCGGAACUGAAAAGUCAUUCCAAUCAGCGCCAUAGACAUCGGCUCCCCUGGUGCCCGACGUCUAAGGUGCAUGCAAAAGGCAGAUUAAAAGUUAUCUUGGACGUCAUAUUAGUGAGAUAACCGACGUCUAGCUGACUAUAGACGUCGGUUUCUAUAGCAACCGAUGCCCUAAUCAUGUUAAAUAAACCGCAGACUCGCAGUUUCGCAAACAUCGUCGUCUUCCUCCUCUCCUUUUUCUCUCUUGCGGCAUUGCAUUCCAGGUGCGUCUUUUUUUAUUUAAACCGUUUAAACUUUGUUCAGUCCGAUUAUAUUAAUUUUUCAUCGACUAUCUUCUGAUUCAAUUGAUUAAAAUUUGUUUUCCUUGUGUUGUGUUUUAGUGCAGUUUUGUUCCUCUCUUGGGGUAAUGUAGUACCACAUUCUGCCUUUGCUAGCUGUCUCCCAGAAAAAGCGGCGUCUUUUGGAUUUCUUAUGGCGUUUCGACCCAAAAACGACUCUGGGUCGUUGCCCUGUUAUCGUUUCACCGUAAUUUUUUCCUCUUGCAGUUGAAAAUGGAACUAGGCAAGAACCCAGGUUCGGUUUUGGGUUGAAAUGUCAUGAGAAAUUCAAAAGACGCAAGCUUUUUUGGGGGAAACUAACAAAGACAGAGUGUGCUACUAGGCUAUCCAAAGACAGGAACAAAACUGCACUAAAACACAACAACUAUGUUAGAGGCCACACAUCAACACGAGGCUUUCCAGUGUGCUUUGUCCUCACUCACACACUUUCCGAGAAAACUUCCCGGAAGGUCACCCAUCCCAUAAUUACUCUAGGCUAAGCACGCUUAACCAUGGAGUUCUUAUGAGUUAGGCUACCNNNNNNNNNNNNNNNNNNNNNNNNNNNNNNNNNNNNNNNNNNNNNNNNNNNNNNNNNNNNNNNNNNNNNNNNNNNNNNNUGUAUAGUCUCAUACCUAUACAAUCUCCAGAUCCCUCUCAUUCCGGUGUAUGUUCGAUUCGUCCAUGUACUCCUUCCACUGGAAGCCUGCCAGGAGUCGCUCCUUGUCUGUGCCCCCUGCACCAUGCCUCUUGCAUCGGCGAUCACUCCCCGCCCUCGUCAGUGCCCGGGUGUCACAUGCCCACCAGCUUCCGCAUGGUUCGUCCUCGAACCACACCGUACUGGGAGAGGCUAGGCUCUGAUACCAUUUGUAACGCCCCAACAACUUACAGGGACUGUUGACUGCCCCCACAAAUCACCACGAGACUUUGCAGGGUGCUUUGUCCUCACUCGCACACUUUCCGAGAAAACUUCCCGGAAGGUCACCCAUCCCAGAAUUACUCCAGGCUAAGCACGCUUAACCAUGAAGCUCUUAAGGGUUAGGCUACCGAAAAGUAAAUGCAUUUUGGUGAUAUGGGUAGCCAAAUCAAUUCCUUUAAGAUAUCCUUCAACUGUAUAGUCCCAUACUUAUACAGUCUCCAGAUCCCUCUCAUUCCGGUGUAUGAUCGAUUCGUCCAUGUGCCCCUUCCACUCGAAGCCUGCCAGGAGCCGCUCCUUGUUUGUGCCCCCUGCACCAUGCCUCUUGCACCGACGAUCACUCCCCGCCCUCGUCAGUGCGCGGUGUCACAUGAAAGAGCUAGGAGCCUUUUUUGUCUUAUGAGGGUUAGAACUUAAGACCAAGCACACAUCCCUCCCAUGCACAGACAACAACCACUAGCAACUUACAGGGACUGUUGACUGCCCCCACAAAUCACCACGAGACUUUCCAGGGUGCUUUGUCCUCACUCGCACACUUUCCGAGAAAACUUCCCGGAUUCCUUUAAGAUAUCCUUCAAUUGUAUAGUCCCAUACCUAUACAGUCUCUAGAUCCCUCUCAUUUCGGUGUAUGAUAGAUUCGUCCAUGUGCCCCUUCCACUCGAAGCCUGCCAGGAGUCGCUCCUUGUUUGUGCCCCCUGCACCAUGCCUCUUGCAACGACGAUCACUCCCCGCCCUCGUCAGUGCCCGGGUGUCACAUGCCCACCAGCUUCUGUCUGGUUCGUCCUCGAACCACACCGUACUAGGAGAGGCUAGGCUCUGAUACCAUUUGUAACGCCCCGACAACUUACAGGGACUGCUGACUGCCCCCACACAUCAACACGAGGCUUUCCAGUGUGCUUUGUCCUCACUCACUCACUUUCCGAGAAAACUUUCCGAAAGGUCACCCAUCCCAUAAUUACUCUAGGCUAAGCACGCUUAACCAUGGAGUUCUUAUGAGUUAGGCUACCAAAAAGCAAAUGCAUUUGUUGAUAUGAGUAGCCAAAUCAAUUCCUUUAAACUAUCCUUCAACUGUAUAGUCCCAUACCUAUACAAUCUCCAGAUCCCUCUCAUUCCGGUGUAUGUUCGAUUUGUCCAUGUACCCCUUCCACUGGAAGCCUGCCAGGAGCCGCUCCUUGUCUGUGCCCCCUGCACCAUGCCUCUUGCACCGACGAUCACUCCCCGCCCUCGUUAGUGCCCGGGUGUCACAUACACUAACGUCUAUAGUGACCUUAGACGUUGGUUAGUGACAUGUUCGAAGUCCUUAUAGUGCUCUUAGACGUCGGUUGGUUCCCACACCGACAUCUAUAUGGUGCUAUUAGACGUCGGAGUAGGCCUUAACCGACGUGUAUUGACGUCGGGCAUGACACUAAUUGAUGUCUAUAUAUACAUCUGUUAUAUAGAAAUUCGACGUCCCAUUAACGUCACCCUAAUAACGGUCUAAAAACCGUUAUUUUCAUACUUAAAUUUGAUAUUAAAACACACCCUUUAUGACUUAGAAUGAGCUUAAAAUCAAAUAAAACACUUAGUUGUGUCUUGUGAGAGUGAAAAGUUGGUUUUAGAGAUAUUAUGCUUGUUUUUACAUUGUUUUGCAGGGUUUUAAGGUGAAUUGAAGAUGGAAGUGAAGUAAGGUGGACUUAGACCCAUGAAAGAAGGAGUAAAAUGAUGAAAAGAAGGGUCAAGUGAGCCGCUGAGCGCCAGAAUGGACCGUUGAGCGUCCAGAGCGAUUAGAGGGAAACCGCUCAACGGCAAAACUAACCGCUGAGCGGCCAACGCAGCUAGAGGGAAACCGCUGAGCGGUGAACUUAGGCACCUGGGCGGUUGUCUGUUUUUAUUAGCUAGAUUCUAUAAUCUUUCUGUUAUCUUUUUGGGCUUAUAUAUAGCCCCAGUGUGAAUCAAAACUCAUUCUUUUGGCAGAGAGAAACGUCCAGAGCUAUGUCACACACCUUAGAGGAGGUUCCUUGGAUGCUUAGGCUCCAAUCUACCAAGUUUAGGGUUAUUCUUU